AUGGUUCCAGAGGGAGAGUCCAUAACGGCAGGAGAGGCAUGCCCCCUGGUGGCCAAAGCAAGAAGCUCACAGAUCAUAUUUCUUCACACAGGAAUCUGGCAGAGUGAAGUGGAAUGGGCCAAGGCUGUACACCCCCGAUGCCUGCUCUCAAUGACAUGCUUCCUCCAGCAAGGCUAUACCCAGGGUCAGUGGCUAUUUUUAGCCAUUGUUCUCCCCAGUGGGGUUAUCCUCAGAGAAUCCUUACUGCCCGGGCUCCCCUUUCAUAAGUUUCUCCGGGGUAUCUGCAUCUCCUCCCCCUGCCUCCCCCUUUCAGUUUGAGGAGAACAGUCCAUCGUCAUAUGACAACAGGAACAUGAGGCAACUGGUGACAGUGGCCUCCGCCCCUGCCCCAUGGCCUCCACUCCUGGCUGUGACCGGCAGACAGAGCUUUAUAGAAAGGUCUCAUGGAAGCAGAUGCUGAAUGCUCAGCCCGCAUCCCCUCAAGACCGGAGAGG
rnacentral:lncRNA from 1 species